rnacentral:rRNA from 1 species
UACGGGGGGGGGCAAGCGUUGUUCGGAAUUACUGGGCGUAAAGGGCUCGUAGGCGGCCAACUAAGUCAGACGUGAAAUCCCUCGGCUUAACCGGGGAACUGCAUCUGAUACUGGAUGGCUUGAGUUCGGGAGAGGGAUGCGGAAUUCCAGGUGUAGCGGUGAAAUGCGUAGAUAUCUGGAGGAACACCGGUGGCGAAGGCGGGUCUCUGGGCCGAUACUGACGCUGAGGAGCGAAAGCGUGGGGAGCGAACAGG